CUCUUCCUUGUUGCUUUUUUGCCAGUGUUUUUAAAAAUUGGUUUUGUCAGCCUUUCAGCUCUGCAGCACUGGAACUGUCCUAAUGGAUACAGACAAGAGACUGAAAACUCCACUUGUAUAGAUAUUGAUGAAUGUCGUGAGGGAGGUUUGGGAACUUGUGGCCAAAGCUGUGUCAAUGUUCCAGGGUCCUAUAUCUGCUCCUGUUUGCCUGGCUAUACCUUGGAUAUAGACAAAUGGUCUUGCUAUGUGAAAGACCCUGCACCUUUUUUACUUUUCAGCCAUGGAAAUGCCAUCUUCAGAAUUGACACAGAAGGGACGAAUCAUGAAAGGCUGGUUGCUGAUACUGGUCAGUCAACGCUUGUAGACUUCCAUUAUGCAGAAGAGAAAGUGUAUUGGGUUGACUCUGAAAGGCGUCUUCUGCAAAGAAUUCACUUAAAUGGCACAAAACAAGAGAGACUGUGUUACAUAGAUAAAGGUGUUUCAGCAUUUGCUAUUGACUGGAUACAUCAACAUAUCCUUUGGGCUAAUAAACAGAAAGCAAUCAUUGAAGUGA